rnacentral:rRNA from 1 species
GGGUGGUAAUGCCGGAUGUUCCACAUGAUCGCAUGUGAUUGUGGGAAAGAUUCUAUCGGCGUGGGAUGGGGUCGCGUCCUAUCAGCUUGUUGGUGAGGUAACGGCUCACCAAGGCUUCGACGGGUAGCCGGCCUGAGAGGGCGACCGGCCACAUUGGGACUGAGAUACGGCCCAGACUCCUACGGGAGGCAGCAGUGGGGAAUAUUGCACAAUGGGCGCAAGCCUGAUGCAGCGACGCCGCGUGAGGGAUGGAGGCCUUCGGGUUGUAAACCUCUUUUGUUUGGGAGCAAGCCUUCGGGUGAGUGUACCUUUCGAAUAAGCGCCGGCUAACUACGUGCCAGCAGCCGCGGUAAUACGUAGGGCGCAAGCGUUAUCCGGAUUUAUUGGGCGUAAAGGGCUCGUAGGCGGCUCGUCGCGUCCGGUGUGAAAGUCCAUCGCUUAACGGUGGAUCUGCGCCGGGUACGGGCGGGCUGGAGUGCGGUAGGGGAGACUGGAAUUCCCGGUGUAACGGUGGAAUGUGUAGAUAUCGGGAAAGAACACC